AACAAUUCGUGGGAUUGGACACCCGUGGCAAUAGGACUGACGUGGUAGCCAUCUCCAAUACAACAGGAAGAUCAGAGACAUUUGAGAUUGUGAAAAACUCGAAUGAUUCUAGUCGCGUCAGAAUAAAAGCUUCCAAUGGGUUCUUCUUGCAGGUGAAAACAGAGGAGCUGGUGACUGCUGAUUAUGCAGGUGACAGCACAUGGGGAGACGAUGACCCAUCGGUAUUUGUCUUGGGAAUUUCUGGAAGGCUGCAGGGAGAGUUCCAAGUCGCCAACGGCUAUGGCCCGAAACUAGCCCCACAAGUUAUGAGGGAACACUGGAGGACAUUCAUAGUGGAAAAAGAUUUCAUG
rnacentral:misc_RNA from 1 species